GAUGAACGCUGGCGGCGUGCCUAAUACAUGCAAGUCGAGCGAACGGACGAGAAGCUUGCUUCUCUGAUGUUAGCGGCGGACGGGUGAGUAACACGUGGAUAACCUACCUAUAAGACUGGGAUAACUUCGCGAAACCGGAGCUAAUACCGGAUAAUCUUUUGAACCGCAUGGUUCAAAAGUGAAAGACGGUCUUGCUGUCACUUAUCGAUGGAUCCGCGCUGCAUUAGCUAGUUGGUAAGGUAACGGCUUACCAAGGCAACGAUGCAUAGCCGACCUGAGAGGGGGAACGGCGACACUGGAACUGAGAGACGGUCCAGACUCCUACGGGAGGCAGCAGUAGGGAAUCGUCCGCAAUGGGCGAAAGCCUGACGGAGCAACGCCGCGUGAGUGAUGAAGGUCUUCGGAUCGUAAAACUCUGUUAUUAGGGAAGAACAUAUGUGUAAGUAACUGUGCACAUCUUGACGGUACCGAAUCAGAAAGCCACGGCUAACUACGU
rnacentral:rRNA from 1 species